rnacentral:rRNA from 1 species
CCCUACGGGGGGCAGCAGUGAGGAAUAUUGGUCAAUGGGCGCGAGCCUGACCCAGCAACGCCGCGUGAAGGAAGAAGGCUUUCGGGUUGUAAACUUCUUUUCUCAGGGACGAAGCAAGUGACGGUACCUGAGGAAUAAGCCACGGCUAACUACGUGCCAGCAGCCGCGGUAAUACGUAGGUGGCAAGCGUUAUCCGGAUUUACUGGGUGUAAAGGGCGUGUAGGCGGGAAAGCAAGUCAGAUGUGAAAACCACGGGCUCAACCUGUGGCCUGCAUUUGAAACUGUUUUUCUUGAGUACUGGAGAG